GAUGAACGCUAGCUACAGGCUUAACACAUGCAAGUCGAGGGGAAACGAUAUUGGAAGCUUGCUUCUGAUAGGCGUCGACCGGCGCACGGGUGAGUAACGCGUAUCCAACCUGCCCAUCACUUGGGGAUAACCUUGCGAAAGUAAGACUAAUACCCAAUGACGUCUCUAGAAGACAUCUGAAAGAGAUUAAAGAUUUAUCGGUGAUGGAUGGGGAUGCGUCUGAUUAGCUUGUUGGCGGGGUAACGGCCCACCAAGGCGACGAUCAGUAGGGGUUCUGAGAGGAAGGUCCCCCACAUUGGAACUGAGACACGGUCCAAACUCCUACGGGAGGCAGCAGUGAGGAAUAUUGGUCAAUGGACGAGAGUCUGAACCAGCCAAGUAGCGUGAAGGAUGAAGGUCCUACGGAUUGUAAACUUCUUUUAUAAGGGAAUAAAACCUCCCACGUGUGGGAGCUUGUAUGUACCUUAUGAAUAAGCAUCGGCUAACUCCGUGCCAGCAGCCG
rnacentral:rRNA from 1 species